UAGCCUUACAUGCUUGCAUCUACACCACACCUCUGAAUUUUGUCUUUUUUAUAUCCUAUAUAAUAUCUAAUGUUGUUACCUUCUCUAGUUCUCUUUACGGUUGUGCAUGUUUAAAUUAUCCAUAAAGUUUCCUUCUGAGACAAUAGAGGCAUUAGUUUAUAAUGAUCUUGUGAAGAAUGAGUUCUUGAGACAUCUUGGUAACUCUACUGGGACCAGAAAGUGUAAAUUUUUCUCAAAAGAAUUAGGGGGAGCCAAAAAAAAGUCAUGAAAAGUUCUUAAGACCUGACACUUUAAGUUUGAUUGUGGUUGGUAUGCAUUUGAAUUUAUUGAUUUGCAGAUUGUAAGGACUUAGAGAAUGCUUUAUGAGUGGAGGAAAACAUUUUGUUAUUUACAUGGAAUAGCGGUGAUGUUUUAGCACACCUUUUUGUAUUUAAGCUUUGUGUGUUUUUCCAGCUCGGGUGAAAUUUGCAUUGCUGGUCAGGGCUUAUGGAAAAAUUAUUAAAGUUGGAAUUUGACUUUGCCAUAUGCAAUGAACUUUGUUAACAUGCAAUUUUUCUCAGGUCUGGUGUACAAGGACUGGUCAAUGCUUGCGUUGUAUUGAAUGUGCACAUUCUCAGGGAGUCACGAGUCUUGCUUUCUCUUGUGAUGGAAGCCAGCUGCUAAGUGCAUCGUUUGACAACACACCCAGGUUCGAUUAAAUUAAUGGACUUUUUUAUUUUGUGUAUAGCAAGUUAAUUUUGUCUAUAGUGUCUCUGCUCACCACUAUAAUCAGUUGACACCUUUUAACACUAUUAUCUUUAUCUCUAUUUUAUCGUGUGGUCAUUGAAUUUCUAACUUUAGUCAUUCCCUUAUCCAUACAACAGUUAUUUUCUUGCUAUUAAUUUUAUGUGAAUGAUGCCAUCUUCACUAGUGAUGGAACUCGUGUUGUUACUGACUCCAGUGAUUGCACAGUCAAGUAGGUUUGGGAUAUGAAGAGUACUGACUGUAUACAUACAUUCAGGACACCACCACCAUUGAGGGUAUUUUUUCUUAAUCCAAUUUGCAUGAUCAUGAUCGAGCUGCAUAGUCUCAUGGGGCAUACCUGGGAUAGAAUACAUCCAUGCUAUAUGUCUUGCUUUUGCCUUCUACAGCACAUAGCUGAUUGUUGCUUGUUGUGUGGAUUGUAAGGGAGGUGAUGCUUCUGUGAACUCUGUUCAUCUUUUCCCAAAAAACACUGAUCAUAUUGUUGUAUGUAACAUGACAUCAUCGGUAUGCAUUAUGACACUUCAUGGACAGGUAGUUUCUCUCAACUCCAGCUGAUGCUAAUAGUUUGUCUCUUAUUUGUUACUCCUCCAUGAUUGGUUUUGGGGUUGGGACCAAAUUUUAGAUAGUGUACCAACUACUUUUUUGACAGCAAACCAUUGACAGUUCUCUAGCAUUUACUAGUCUUAGACCACCACAAAAGCAAACAUAAACAGAUUACCAUUCUAUAGAUAGAUUACAAUUCUAUGUUUUAGUGGUUAAGGUACUUUUUUUGUUCACUGAAACUCUUUCAGGGUGCAUAAGUAGAGGAGUUUUGAUAAUUCAUUAUCAAUAACAUCUUGCUUUGAGUGACUGUUAUGCAGGUUGUGAAGAGCUUUUCUUCAGGUAAAAGAGCUGGAGAUUUUGCUGCAGCCUGUGUAUCACCAAAAGGGGAAUGGAUCUAUUGUGUUGGUGAAGACAGGCAUUCCUUCAUCCACCUGAUUCUGAUAUAAAAUUUUCAAUUUUGUGUUUUAUUUAUUUUCUCAUAAAAUAAGAAUUCUAUAAAAAAAGAAGAGAAGGAUGAAAUGAAAAUGUCAUUUAUUGCUGAGACAAGUUGAGAGAUGGGUGUUUGAGACGGCUUAAUUUUGUUAAUAACUGUCCUCAAAAUUGCCUGCAGGAAUAUUUACUGCUUCAGCUUCCAAUCCUCUGCAAACUAGAGCAUCUAAUGAUG